rnacentral:antisense_RNA from 1 species
GAGGCCCAGGCGGGGGCGUCGAAGAAGUCGCCCUCGCCGAGCACGGCCAGCAGGGCGUCGUCGCCGUAGGUGCCGGUGGCACGCUUCUCGGCCCGGCCGAAGGCGAUGAUGUGCAGCUGGUCGGCCGGGGCGUCGGCGUCGACGAUCAGCUCGCCGGGCGCGACCUCGCGCUCGGUGAACCCGGCCGCGAGCGCGGAGAGCACCGGGCCGUCGACCUGGCUGAGGAAGGCCAGUUCGCGCAGGUCCUCGGCGAUGAUCCGGGUGGCGCCGCCGCCGUCGACGUACGUGCUGACCAGCCCGUCGCCGAGGAUGAAGCCCCGGCGGCGGUUGACCCGGUAGACGCCCGCCUCCAGGUCCACCCAGGGCAGCGCCCGCAGCAGGUACCGGGGGGUGAUCCCGAGCAUCUGCGGGACGGUCUUGGUGGUGGUGGCGAGGUUCCGGGCGGCGGAGGUGCUGAGGCUCUGCCGG